rnacentral:rRNA from 1 species
AUGGCCAUUUUCGACGAGUUCUAUGUUGGGUCCAUCGAUCUCGGGCGCCUCAACUAUGGGAUCAUCUCGCUCAUCCCGAAGGUUUCGGGCGCCUCCGACAUCCGUCAGUUUCAUCCAAUCACGGUCAUCAACGUGAUGUUUCGGAUUCUGGCAAAAGGGUACGCCAAUAGGGUGACUCUCCUCGCUGACCAAAUUACCCACCCCAACCAAUUCGCCUUCAUUCAAGGGCGGUAUAUCCUGGAUGGGGUGCUAGCUCUUCAUGAAAUCCUCCAUGAGGUGCGAUCUAAACACCUCAAGGGGGUCUUCUUGAAGAUUGCACUGUUAGUUGGCCCUUCCUUCGGGAAGUAUUGCUCCAGAAGGGCUUUGACGACCGUUGGAUCUCCAGGAUAA